UACAGAGGGUGCGAGCGUUAAUCGGAAUUACUGGGCGUAAAGCGCGCGUAGGCGGCUUUGCAAGUCGGGUGUGAAAUCCCCAGGCUUAACCUGGGAACUGCAUUCGAGACUGCAUUGCUAGAGUAUGGGAGAGGGAAGUGGAAUUUCCGGUGUAGCGGUGAAAUGCGUAGAUAUCGGGAGGAACACCAGUGGCGAAGGCGACUACCUGGCCCAUUCUUGACGCUGAGGCGCGAAAGCUAGGGGAGCGAACGGG
rnacentral:rRNA from 1 species